GUCUGUGACGUCAUACCACUGUUGAUUGUGUUUCUGGUGACGAAUCAUCGCAGCCAAGAAGUACUAACUAUUUUGGACUACAGAAGACGAUGAGUGUGUGGAUCGCUUCCUCAGCCGUUGUUGCAGGUGCCUAUGUAGCUUUGAAAGUCGCGUUUUCAUGGUAUGAGACGACCCAAUGUCCAGCCCUGACCAGAGUGGAAGUUGAAAUUAUACCCCUGCCUUCCUCUCCUCUUCUCCUUGGGGUCAAACGCUGCACCAUUCUCGACCGUCGACCCGUCUGUCGGGUGAUGCUAAAGUUGCGAAUCUGAAACUUGCCGCAUCCGAGCUUUACCGCCGCUCGAGAGAGACGCUGUGAACCGGUUUAUAAUUGCAAACUAUAAAACUGAUAUCUAGAUAAAUAUGAUAUGUAGAACUGAAGAAAGGAGUGUCAGAUAAAGGCACUCAACUGUUGUUUUAUGAGGAAUAUUGUGUAUAUUCUGUUGUCGAUGUCUCCAGAAUCACCGGGAAUUUUCAUUAUCAUUGUGUAAUAUGAAGUGCUAUUUAGUUUUGUCAAAAUAAAAUGUCACAAA